GAGUUUGAUCGUGGCUCAGAUUGAACGCUGGCGGCAUGCUUUACACAUGCAAGUCGAACGGCAGCAUGAUCUAGCUUGCUAGAUUGAUGGCGAGUGGCGAACGGGUGAGUAAUACAUCGGAACGUGCCCUGUAGUGGGGAUAACUAGUCGAAAGAUUAGCUAAUACCGCAUACGACCUGAGGGUGAAAGUGGGGGACCGCAAGGCCUCAUGCUAUAGGAGCGGCCGAUGUCUGAUUAGCUAGUUGGUGGGGUAAAGGCCCACCAAGGCGACGAUCAGUAGCUGGUCUGAGAGGACGAUCAGCCACACUGGGACUGAGACACGGCCCAGACUCCUACGGGAGGCAGCAGUGGGGAAUUUUGGACAAUGGGCGAAAGCCUGAUCCAGCAAUGCCGCGUGUGUGAAG
rnacentral:rRNA from 1 species